UACAGAGGGUGCGAGCGUUAAUCGGAAUUACUGGGCGUAAAGCGCACGUAGGUGGCGACGUAAGUCGGGUGUGAAAGCCCCGGGCUCAACCUGGGAAUUGCAUUCGAGACUGCAUUGCUGGAGUACGGAAGAGGAAGGCGGAAUUCCCGGUGUAGCGGUGAAAUUCGUAGAUAUCGGGAGGAACACCGGUGGCGAAGGCGGCGAUCUGGGAAGAUACGUGACGCUGAGGUGCGGAAAGCGUGGGGAGCAAACAGGG
rnacentral:rRNA from 1 species